GGGUAGCUGAGGAUACUGGGAGUCACAUAUCCAAAUUGCACGAAAAUCCGUUUGGUAGUUUCUGUGUCGCAUCGUGUGGAAGUUUGACCGGCUCGCCAUGUGGUGGUGUCCGAUUUAGAGUUCCAUGAAAUCAGUAGCAAGAGCCGGUCUCUGUUCGUGCAGAAUUACACGAAAACUACCAUAGGUAUGUUGCAGCUGGUUACAUGAGAGUGC